AGCAGCCGCGGUAAUUCCAGCUCCAAUAGCGUAUAUUAAAGUUGUUGCAGUUAAAAAGCUCGUAGUUGAAUUUCGGGGUUAGUAGAUUGGUCAUGCCUCCGGUAUGCACUGGUCUUACUGAUUCCUCCUUCCUGAUGAACCGUAAUGCCAUUAAUUUGGUGUUGCGGGGAAACUGGACUGUUACUUUGAAAAAAUUAGAGUGUUUAAAGCAGGCUAACGCUUGAAUACAUUAGCAUGGAAUAAUGAAAUAGGACGUUCGAUCUUAUUUUGUUGGUUUCUAGGAUUGACGUAAUGACUAAUAGGGAUAGUUGGGGGCAUUAGUAUUCAAUUGUCAGAGGUGAAAUUCUUGGAUUUAUUGAAGACUAACUACUGCGAAAGCAUUUGCCAGGGAUGUUUUCAUUAAUCAAGAACGAAAGUUAGGGGACCGAAGACGAUCAGAUACCGUCGUAGUCUUAACCAUAAACUAUGCCGACUAGGGAUCGGAUGAUGUUAAUUUUUUAAUGAUCAUUCGGCGCCUUAC
rnacentral:rRNA from 1 species